AUUGAACGCUGGCGGCAGGCUUAACACAUGCAAGUCGAGCGGGGGGAGGUAGCUUGCUACCGGACCUAGCGGCGGACGGGUGAGUAAUGCUUAGGAAUCUGCCUAUUAGGGGGGGACAACAUCUCGAAAGGGAUGCUAAUACCGCAUACGUCAUACGGGAGAAAGCAGGGGAUCCUCGGACCUUCCGCUAAUAGAUGAGCCUAAGUCGGAUUAGCUAGUGGGUGGGGGAAAGGCCUACCAAGGCGACGAUCUGUAGCGGGGCUGAGAGGGUGAUCCGCCACACUGGGACCGAGACACGGCCCAGACUCCUACGGGAGGCAGCAGUGGGGAAUAUUGGACAAUGGGGGGAACCCUGAUCCAGCCAUGCCGCGUGUGUGAAGAAGGCCUUAGGGUUGUAAAGCACUUUAAGCGAGGAGGAGGCUACUUUAGUUAAUACCUAGAGAUAGUGGACGUUACUCGCAGAAUAAGCACCGGCUAACUCUGUGCCAGCAGCCGCCGUAA
rnacentral:rRNA from 1 species